rnacentral:rRNA from 1 species
AUACUCCUGACUGACCGAUAGUGAACCAGUACCGUGAGGGAAAGGCGAAAAGAACCCCGGCGAGGGGAGUGAAAAAGAACCUGAAACCGUGUACGUACAAGCAGUGGGAGCACGCUUAGGCGUGUGACUGCGUACCUUUUGUAUAAUGGGUCAGCGACUUAUAUUCUGUAGCAAGGUUAACCGAAUAGGGGAGCCGAAGGGAAACCGAGUCUUAACUGGGCGUUAAGUUGCAGGGUAUAGACCCGAAACCCGGUGAUCUAGCCAUGGGCAGGUUGAAGGUUGGGUAACACUAACUGGAGGACCGAACCGACUAAUGUUGAAAAAUUAGCGGAUGACUUGUGGCUGGGGGUGAAAGGCCAAUCAAACCGGGAGAUAGCUGGUUCUCCCCGAAAGCUAUUUAGGUAGCGCCUCGUGAAUUCAUCUCCGGGGGUAGAGCACUGUUUCGGCAAGGGGGUCAUCCCGACUUACCAACCCGAUGCAAACUGCGAAUACCGGAGAAUGUUAUCACGGGAGACACACGGCGGGUGCUAACGUCCGUCGUGAAGAGGGAAACAACCCAGACCGCCAGCUAAGGUCCCAAAGUCAUGGUUAAGUGGGAAACGAUGUGGGAAGGCCCAGACAGCCAGGAUGUUGGCUUAGAAGCAGCCAUCAUUUAAAGAAAGCGUAAUAGCUCACUGGUCGAGUCGGCCUGCGCGGAAGAUGUAACGGGGCUAAACCAUG